UACAGAGGGGGCAAGCGUUGUUCGGAGUUACUGGGCGUAAAGGGCGUGUAGGCGGUAUGUUAAGUCUGGCGUGAAAGCUCUCGGCUAAACCGGGAGAGGUCGUUGGAUACUGGCAAACUAGAGGAUGGUAGAGGCGUGUGGAAUUCCGGGUGUAGUGGUGAAAUGCGUAGAGAUCCGGAGGAACACCAGUGGCGAAGGCGACACGCUGGGCCAUACCUGACGCUAAAGCGCGACAGCAUGGGGAGCAAACGGG
rnacentral:rRNA from 1 species